AAAAGGGAAAUGCUUGUUAGUGCGAAAAUAACAUCCCGAACAUCUCCCGAAUGUGUUGGCAGUGGCACCCCACUUGCAUUAUUUACUUUAAAUUAAUUAAUUUCUCUUUAAAAAAAUAAUAAAAAUCCAGUUCUCUCUUCUCUCUCAUCCUUUCAUCUCCAACCUAAACAACAAUCUUUCUCUCUACAAUUUGCUAAGGUUCUUCUCCCAAACUUCUUUCUCAACUUCUUUGUUGGUUCAACCCCUCUCUCUUCCAUUUAUUUUUCUCUCAAACUCAUAUACCUAAGUCUUUUUCUAUUAUCUUGCCAAGGUCUGUUUCACAAUUUUACUCAAUUGGAUUUUUUUUUUUCUUAUUUGAAAGCACCAUAUAUUGUAUGAUGAUGGUUGUUGGGAGAUGAAAUUCCAACAUGGGUUUUCAAAAGUGAAGAUUUUGAUAACGAUUUUAGUUCAUCUCUGUAUUUUAGGGUAUCCGCGGAGAUGAUUGAGAAAUUGGUUGCCAUGGAAGAGAUGAUGGUGUUUUUUUUUUCUUUUUUUUUCUUUCUUUUAAUUGGUUGCCAUGAAAGAUGAUGGUGUGUUGUUGUUGAUCAUUCGUUCGGGAGUUAAUUGGCAGUCCUCUUUUGAUUUUUAAUAAAUAUAGUAGCGUUUUUUUUUUGUUUUUUCUUUUUAUUUUCACGAAAUUCGGGACAAAAGUGUUCGGGAGAUAUAGCACUGCUC
rnacentral:lncRNA from 1 species